AUUGAACGCUGGCGGCAGGCCUAACACAUGCAAGUCGAACGAGUGGCGGACGGGUGAGUAAUGUCUGGGAAACUGCCUGAUGGAGGGGGAUAACUACUGGAGACGGUAGCUAAUACCGCAUACCAUCGGAUGUGCCCAGAUGGGAUUAGCUAGUAGGUGGGGUAAAGGCUCACCUAGGCGACGAUCCCUAGCUGGUCUGGGAGGAUGACCGGCAACACGGGAACGGAGAAACGGUCCAGACUCCUACGGGGGCAAGCAGUGGGGAAUAUUGCACAAUGGGCGCAAGCCUGAUGAAGCAAGGCCGCGUGUAUGAAGAAGGCCUUCGGGUUGUAAAGUACUUUCGGCGGGGAGGCGUUACCCGCAGAAGAAGCACCGGCUAACUCCGUGCCAGCAGCCGCGGUAAUUC
rnacentral:rRNA from 1 species